AUUGAACGCUGGCGGCAGGCCUAACACAUGCAAUUCGAACGAGUGGCGGACGGGUGAGUAAUGUCUGGGAAACUGCCUGAUGUAGGGGUCUAACUGCUGGAAACCGUCGCUACUACCGCAUACCAUCUGAUGUGCCCAGCUGGGAUUAGCUAGUAGGUGGGGUAAAGGCUCACCUAGGCGACGCUCCCUAGCUGGUCUGAGAGGAUGACCAGCCACACUGGAACUGAGACACGGUCCAGACGCCUACGGGAGGCAGCAGUGGGGAAUAUUGCACAAUGGGCGAAAGCCUGAGGCAGCCAUGCCGCGUGGAUGAAGAAGGCUUUCGGGUGGUAAAGUACUUUCAGCGGGGAGGCGUUACCCGCAGAAGAAGCACCGGCUAACUCCGUGCCAGCAGCCGCGGUAAUAC
rnacentral:rRNA from 1 species